GACGUAGGGCGCGAGCGUUGUCCGGAUUUAUUGGGCGUAAAGAGCUCGUAGGCGGCUUGUUGCGUCGACUGUGAAAACCCGCGGCUUAACUGCGGGCUUGCAGUUGAUACGGGCAGGCUAGAGUUCGGUAGGGGAGACUGGAAUUCCUGGUGUAGCGGUGAAAUGCGCAGAUAUCAGGAGGAACACCGGUGGCGAAGGCGGGUCUCUGGGCCGACACUGACGCUCAUGCACGAAAGCGUGGGGAGCAAACAGG
rnacentral:rRNA from 1 species